UGCGGAAAUUUAACCGUGCUAAGGUAGCAUAAUCAUUAGCCUCUUAAUUAGAGACUCGUAUGAACGGUGAAACAUUUCAAUUACUUUAUUAAUUAACUUUAUCAAAUUUAAACCAAGAAUAAAAAUGUUCUUAUAAAUUAAUUAGACGACAAGACCCUUUUGAACUUUACUAUUGUUUAGCUGGGGUAGCUAUAAAAUAUUAAUCUUCUUAACUUUAUUUAUAUAAAUGACCCAAUUCAAUUGAUUAUUUGAACAAGUUACCAUAGGGAUAACAGCGUAAUAUUUUUUAAAAGUUCUUAUUUAAAAAAAUGAUUGCGACCUCGAUGUUGAAUUAAUGUAACUUUAUUGAUGAAGUAAUCAUAAAAGUUGGUCUGUUC
rnacentral:rRNA from 1 species